rnacentral:lncRNA from 1 species
CGUGUCUGGCCCCACUACAUUCUUAAAGAAGCAAUAAAUUGACCUUGUUUAAAUACACAAUCUGAAUUACUGGGGUCUUUUGAAACUACACCUUUGUUCAUUACUAAGAUUUCUAUUUUCCUUCCUCUUUUUCAGCACUUAUUUCUAUAGCAGUCUCCCAGCUGAUGCCACUUAACUUCAUUGAACAAAAAAUGAGGUUUAGAAAGUCACAAUAAUCAUUGUGAAAGUAU